rnacentral:ncRNA from 2 species
UAGGUGCUGUACAACUGGCGGAAUAAAAUGGCGCAAAAGCCAUGGGGAGUACGGCCUUAGUUUGAAUUAUGUCGACCGCCUGGGCAACCUGU